rnacentral:rRNA from 1 species
UCGAGAAUCUUCCACAAUGGACGAAAGUCUGAUGGAGCGACGUCGCGUGAUGGACGAAGUGCUUCGGCACGUAAACAUCUUUUAUGUGGGACGAAAUUAUUGACGGUACCACAUGAAUAAGGGGCUCCUAACUCUGUGCCAGCAGGAGCGGUAAUACAGAGGCCCCAAGCGUUAUCCGGAAUCACUGGGCGUAAAGGGUGUCGAGGCGGUCAUGUUAGUCGUUCGUAAAAUCCGUGGGCUCAACCUACGGCCGGCGAGCGAAACGGCAUGACUUGAGGUUUGGAGAGGUGCGUGGAACUCACGGUGUAGGGGUGAAAUCCGUUGAUAUCGUGGGGAACACCAAAGGCGAAGGCAGCGCACUGGCCAAAAUCUGACGCUCACACACGAAAGCUAGGGUAGCGAACGGGAUUAGAUACCCUAGUAGUCCCUGAGCGGGCUGGCAAGGCGCAU